CGGACUCUAAGACUGCUGAUCUUAUUCAGUACAAGGGGAGCUGGAUCGCACCUAUUUUCGUUUGGAAUCUCGCACCUGGUCCCGAUGUACAUGAACUGAACCUCAAGAGUGUGUGCUCAGCACCACUCUGUCUCACACAGGAUCGGAGCCGGACCGGCGAGGACGCCGAACCCAUUUACCGCUGCGAACAUGCUCCUGCUCCCGUGCGCUCGCUGGGUGAGACGGUCUGCCUGACAAGCAGCUGCCCAGCAGAAGAAGACAUUGUACCAGGCUGUUGCCCAGCUGGACAGGGUGAGAGGGACAUAGUCCCACCGCUAUUUCUUCAAAGGACUCUCUGGACAUAACUGCAUAUCAGGAACCUGCAGAAUAAACACCAUAUUGCUGUGCCUUGCUUUUACAUACCUUCUGCACUUCUUUAUCGUACAUGUAACGUACGUUUUGGAACUGUAUUUUUUACAGGACCAGCGCAGACACCUAAUACUGUGCCUCGUAUUACAGCGAUUAUCUGUGUUGACAGCUUUUGCACCUGAAUGUCUAUGCAUAUCCAUGAACUUUGACCUAUAGGACAUUAUAUGCACCA